CGGCUGUGCAGAGCGCAGGUGGCGGAUGCGCCCCGGGAGGCAGAUUCCUUGGUCUGACGCGACGUGAUAUGGCCCACCGGUACAUCAAACGCCAUGAGCAGGAAAGUUCUUCCUCUUGAAGACUCAAGAGUUUCAGUCUGAAAACUGGCCCAGACCCAGACAUUGGACAAGGGAUCAUGGCUGGAUAUUGGAGCGACUGCCCUCAGCCUCCUAAUCACCCAUCCUUGGAUUAUUUUGAUUGUACAGAUUGAGUAGCCCACUUGUUGGCUGCCCAUCUGUUUCACCCCGGGGAUCCCUUGUUCUGUGAACUGUCUCCAAAACUCACCAGGAACAGGCUGACCACAGGCAGGAAACACACCUAUAAGGUAUCCAUCACAGCUGACAGAAGGAGGGAACAAUAAAAGACCCUGGAGUCCAUCAUGCCUUAAGGGAAUCCCCUCCUUACUGUCCAUUUUCCCUAUAAAACUGCCUCAAGAUUCCGUAAUUUUUGAAGAUGGUUUUUUUGAGACAUUAGCCUGCCAUCUUUCCAAUUAUGCGGGCUAAUUGAAUGAAAACUUCCUUCCUCCAUCCCUGACUUGUCAUGAUUAAUUGGCUCAGAUCAUGGUGAGCAGAACGAGCCCACUGCUUGGUAUCAGACGUGGCGCUAGGGGAGGGAGAUGUUUGGCGCUGCCGACCCUCAAGGAAGACCUCGGCACCCCAGAGAGCUGUCCAGCUGGGGUGGCCCUUCCGAGUCGUGGUAAAUGCAGGCAAGGGGGCCUGGCCUUUAUACUCCCAUACUGAUCAGGCUGGAUGUGGGCUUCCAGGAGGGGGCCAUGAUCUUGGGCAAGGCAGUCUUCAGUGGAGGCAGUUCCAAAGAAGGUUGACAGCUGAGGGGGCCGUGGCUGACAGCAUUCCCAGCAGCUGGGGGAAUGUGUCCUUCAGUCCUGCUGAAGGGUCAUCCAGGAGGCACAUCACAGCUCCCGCUACACCACAGUACCAUUAUCUCAUGCAGCAAACUCAAGACUGAUACAAUAAUAUUAUCC
rnacentral:lncRNA from 1 species